AAGCUCCAGUCAGCAACUUGGUUGGAUCUUCACCCCCAGCCAAGCCUUUCUGGAGCACGGGAGAUGUCCUUCCCAAAGUUUGGCCAUGCCGCGGUACCGGGUUCCGCCAUCGGGUUCUGAGGUGGCCAACUUCAAAGCUCACAGGACGGAGCCACAAGUUGGUCAUCCCGCCGGAGUCUCCUGACAAGAAGUUCGUUCUGAUUGUCGGGGACUCCCACCUGCGGUCCAUCGCGGAUGGUUUCGCCGUGAUGCCAGAGGCAACAACCUGACGGCGAGCAGGACCAUCGAGGAGGCAGCCGUCGACUAUGCAAGUUUCCUCACUGCUGUGAGGAGCCGCUGGCCGGAGGUUUUUGUGCUGGACUCCCCCCCCC